CAUUAAUCCUCUAUGACUGAAUCCCCAUAGUAUACAAUUUAUUUCUCCAUGGGCAACAAGACAUGCCAGCAACUGCACGGCUACUUCUCCAUUUAGCCAGACAGAGAAUAAAGGGUCCCUGUAUUCAUGCCUUCCUGGAAAUCUCAGUGCAAGGCCCUAUCAGGAGGUUUCCUGGAGCAGCUAAGGGAACAGCUAGACCACCCAGGAAGAAAUGACAGAAGCCUACCUGACUUCCAAUCUGCUUGCUUCAUGGUGUAAUGGGGGCCUAGACAGAAGCACCCCAAGGACACUUACAACAACUGUUCUGCCAGCUCUAGUCCAUUGGAGAAGAUGUGCCAACAUACCUUCUCACCAUCCCUAGAGCCCAACCUUGCUAUGGAAAGGUCAAACCCUUACCAUUGGCCCUGCCAAGGAUCCCCAGACAGAGAAGCACAAUGGAGGCCAUAAAUUAUGGCUUCUUAUCAUGGCCUCCACAUAACUUAAACUCUGGAUGGUGAAUGAAAUCUGGGGCCAAGUCUUAAAGGGUCAGGGUAGCCAAUGAGCAUAACUCAAUAUUUGUGUUUCUAAGAGAAAACCACAGAACCUCCAUAUCCAUGGCAAACUGGCCAGCCACAGGCUGGAUCCAGUGUGCAGUAGUGUUUUGUGUACACCAUUCACUAUUUGUCUACUUGGGUUAAAAAUGUUUUAUAUUAGUUAGCAAUGUUUAAACAUUGGGAGAAUUAAAGGGAAAUGAAAACGUACUUCCCACAAAUACUUGCACAUAAAUAUUCACAGCAGCAUUGUUUAUAAUUGCCCAAAACUAGAAACAACCCAAAUAUCCAUCAACUGAUGAAUGAUAAACAAGUUGUGGUAUAUUCAUCCAAUAAAACAAUAUUCAGCAAUAAAAAUAAACAAAUCAGGCACUUAAUAUAAUUGAAUAUCAAGGUCAUUAUGUUGAGUGAAAGAGGCCAGAAAAUAAAAGUAUACACUAUUUGAUUCCAUUUAUAUAAUAUUCUAGAAAAUGAAAACCAGUCUAUACUUACAGAAAACAAGGUGGUAGCUUACAGAGAUGGGGUAGAGGGAGGGAGAGAUGACAGAGAGGCAUAAAAAAACUUUCCGGACAAUGAAAAUGUUCUGUAUUUUAAUUGUGGUGAUGGUUUCAUGGAUGUACAAGUUCAUCAAAUCUCAUCAAGUUAAAUAUAUGCAUUUAUUUUAUAUUAAGUGUACCUCAAUAAAGCAGAAAAAUUUAAAAUUGGUAAUAUUUAUAUACAAAUUGAGAUAUCUAUAUUUCUUGAAAAUCAAAAUGUCUGACAUCAUUUGGUCUACAUAUUUAUCUGCCAAAAAUACAGGAGAUAGACAGUAGCUGUCCUUUAGAAGGGGCAUACCCUUUCGAGUUUGCAACAGGCCUUCAUACUUCCUGCUGCUUACCCAGCAUUCAUUACAUGUUUAUUGUCAUUUAUUUAAGUUACUUAUUGUGAACCUAAUGCAUGUAUGGCCUCAUUCUAGGUACUGGAGACUAAACAUGCAAACACACCUAACUGGCAUGGUUUCCAUUUGCCUAAUUGUCACGGGGUACCAUGAAGUUUACAUUUUAGUGAGAUUGGAGAAAGAUAGACAUUUAGAGUUAAUAAGUUGGAUAAAUAGUAUAUUAGGUGGAAAGAAGUAUAAGAAAAAAACAUACAGCCAGGAAGAAGUAUAGACAGUUCCAGAGCUAAAAUGUUAGCCAUGGAUCCCAGGAAGUCCUCACUGAAAGGUGACUUUGGGAGGAAACCUGUAGAAGGUGAGGAAUUGAGCUAUGCAUAUAACCCAGGGAAGAGCAUUCUAGACAGACAUGACAGUCCAUGAGAAGAUUCUAGGCAAGGGAGGUAGCCCAGGGUCUUCAACCAACAGCAAGGAGGCUAAUCUAGCUUGGCACAGAGUAACAAGAGAUGAGAUCAGAGAAAUAACAGGGUAGAGAUGGUGUGGAGUCUUAUAGAUUAUUGAAGGGAGUUUGUCAUUUACUGGAUGAAAUAGGAAGCCUUUGGAGGGUGUUGUUAAUUGUAAUCAUGAUAGGGUUAUUACUUUUCUUAUAGUAGAGUUCAAAAGAAAGGAAAACUUAUUUUUGUAACCAGGUCAUUAACCUGGCCCCUGUAGACAUCUGAGUUUGUAAUUUCUGUCAUAUUUUAUCUAAAUAUCAUGAUAGAGAACAAAAUAUCUGACUGGUUCUGUACUGAUAGGCAGUCAGUCAUGCUGGCUAACUUUCAGAAAUAUGCCAUGUUUGGUGGUCUCCUUUCUCUCUGUUUUCUCUAGGUUGAAUAUGGGGAUUCAACCACAUCACUUCACUCUCUCACCCCUUAUAGCACACGCUUCUCUCCCUUUCCUUGGCAUCCCCUGGCCCUAUCAUGACCUGAGGUCUUCCCUACCACUUUGGGGGCUCCCAUCUAAAAAUGCAUUCUAAGUCCUCUACCUGGAACUAAUUUAUCUCCAGGUCUACACUACUGAUAACAAGAUAUACGAUCCCUUGCAAAGGAACUUGUAACACCCUGAAAUUACUCAGAAAUCACACCUCACAGGAGAUUGAGACCAUCCUGGCUAACACGGUGAAACCCCGUCUCUACUAAAAAUACAAAAAAUUAGCCAGGCGUGGUGGUGGGCGCCUGUAGUCCCAGCUACUCAGGAGGCUGAGGCAGGAGAAUGGCAUGAACCCAGGAGGAGGACCUUGCAGUGAGCCGAGAUCGCGCCACUGCACUCCAGCCCGGGCGACAGAGCAAGACUCCGUCUCAAAAAAAAAAAAAAAAAAAGAAAGAAAAGAAAUCACACCUCACAGGCAAACUCUGUAAGUGGGCUCCUGUAGGAAAGCAGCCUGUUGCAUGGCAAGAAAAAUGCCAUCUUGAAGUGAAAUCGUCAUUAAUUCCUGCAUAUCCAGGCAUUCCCACAGCAAGGUCAAGAAACAAUGCCUAUAUCAUAGAUAACUUCUCAUAAAGAUGCUUCUCUAACUUCCCCAGUGGUCAUGAAUGUCAUAAGAGGGUCUGAGACGUGACCAGCAGCGCAUGUCUUACCAAAAAAAAAAGCUUGCUACAGAAAGGAUAUUUUCUGGAGUGCCGAGUGUGGGGAUCCAUCAUCUUGUGGCUACCCAAAGCAUGGCUUCUGUUUGUUACGUCCCUACUAAAUGUUUCUUUCUGGGAAACUGAAUUUGUCAGCCUCUUUCUUUGGCCUGUCAGCUCUCUUGGCUUUCGGGGGUAGAUCUGCAUAUACCUACUCACCCAGAACAUUUGGUGAGUCAGUCAGGAGCUAAGAGGCCAAGAGACAGGAAAGGGGAAUGAAGCAUCUGUACGGGAAAUCCCAGGCCAGCCACGUCUAUGUGGGAUGGUGUGGCACGUCUGUUAGAUGCAUUUGGACUCUGUGUGACUAUGGAGACACCCUGAACAAGCUGGUUGGCCUAGAGUGGUUAUUAACUGAAAGGCAUAUGGUGCAGUGUGGUAAGGAAGGGCAGUGGAUAGCCACUGCAGUGGGUUGGCUGCUUCUGUGGGCCAUUUGUUUGUCAACACAGGUUUAGCUAGCAAUAGAAAUGAAAAGCAAAUGGCUAGAGGAAAAUUGCACCAACCUGAUAGAAAAGGACAUGUGCCUUUUCACUUCUCUGAUUGCGUCCAGUGUAGCUACAUGUUUUACCAAAAAAAAAAAGAAAAAAAAAAAGCCUGCUAUAGAAAGAAUAUUUCAGGAGGGUAGGUGUGGAAAUCUAUGGUCUCUCAGCUGCCCAAGGCAUUGCUUCUGUUCAUAGGUUCCUAUCAAAUGUUUCUUUCUGAGAAACUGGAUUUGUCAGCCUCUUUUCUCUGGCUUCCCAGCUUCCUUGGCCUUUGAGGGGGAGACCUGCAUAUAUCUGUUCACUGCAGAACAGCCCCAUACAUGAAAUGAAUUUUGAGAUUAGAGGAAGAAGUUUCAUUUAUAAGCCCAAAGCAAACAAUUAGGAAAAAAAAUUAUGCUCAGGAAGUUAGGGACUAAGAACUAACCUAAUUACAGGGCUAAAGAAGGAAAUUUGGCCAAAAUAAUCUGACAGAAUGCAAUUUCAACAAAGGCAAAUUAAACCAAGGUAAGUCACUCCAUGUACAUUUGUGUCUAAAUUAAUAUCCCUAGUCACAAAUAACAACUUAAACUUAUAGAAGUAGUUGAUGAAACCAGCUGACACAGAGAGCCAUGUAUCAAUCUUGAUUAUAGAACCUUCUGGAGAUCAUGGUUAUUUCAAAAUAUAUGGACACUGAGGGUGCAUCAAAAGGGCUAAAAGAUUAUGGCUAGAAGAUAAAAUAGAUGUGUCUCUCUAUUCCUUUCUCUAGAUAUAGCUAAAAUCUCUGGACAUCAUACAUAAACAUAAAAAUACUCGGAAAGGUGGAGACAAAAAAACAGGUCAGUUAGGGACUUUGAAACCUUAAAAAACAGCAUGGCACUGAGGUCUCUAGAUUUCCUCGUGCCUUAUAUAUUUCAUACUGGAUGCUAGAGAAGCCUGCAACCCAAAAUACCAACAUACACUGAUAAAAGAAAAAAAAGCCCCAAGAAAACCAAGGAAGGGUCAAAGGGUCAGCCUAGUGAAAAAGAAAAAAUCAUCUAAUUAAUUCAAUUUUUAAAAAAUAAUUUCAACUUUUAUUUUAGAUUCAAGGAAUAAAUGUGUAGGUUUGUUUCCUGGGUAUACUGUAUGAUGCUGAGGUUUGGGGUAUGAUUGACCCUGUCACCCAGACAGUGAUCAUAGUACCCAAUAGCUUUUCAACCCUUGCCCUCCCCCUUCCCUUGCCCCUUUAGCGGUCUCCAGUGUCUAUUGUUUCCAUAUUUAUGUCCAUGAGUAUCCACUGUUUAGCUCCAACUUAUAAGUGAAAAGAUGUGGUAUUUGUUUUUCUGUUUCUGUAUUGAUUAGCUUAUGAUAUGGUUAGGCUCUGUGUCCCCACCCAAAUCUCAUCUUGAAUUUUAAUCCCCAUAAUCCCCAUAUGUUGAGGGUGGAACAGGUGCAGAUAAUUGAAUCAUAGGGGCAGUUUCCUCUAUGCUGUUCUUAUGAUAAUGAGUGAGUUUUCAUGAGAUCCAAUGGUUUUAUAAGGGGCUUCCCCUCUUCACUUGGCACUCACUCCAUCCUGCCACCCUAUGAAGAAGGUGCAUGCUUUUCCUUUGCCUUCUGCCAUGAUUGUAAGUUUCCUGAGGCCUCCCCAGCAAUACGGAACUGUGAGUUAAUUAAAUCUCUUUCCUUUAUAAAUUACCAAGUCUCAGGUAUUUCUUCAUAGCAGCAUGAGAAUGGACUAAUACAGCUUAGGAUAAUGGCCUUCAGCUGCAUCCAUGUUGCUACAAAGGACAUGAUUUUCUUCCUUUCUAUGGCUACAUAGUAUCCUACGGUACAUAUAUACCACACUUUCUUUAUGCAGUCCACCAUUGACGGGCACCUAGGUUGAUUCUGUGUCUUUGCUAUUAUGAAUACUGCUACAAUGUACAAACAAGUACAUGUGUCUUUUCGGUAGAAUAAUUUAUUUUCUUUUGAAUAUAUACCCAGUAAUGAGAUUGCUGGGUCAAGUGGUAGUUCUAAGUUCCUUGAGAAAUCUCCAAAGUGCAGAAAUAAAAUUUUUGACAAUAACCACCCAACUCCAGCCAAACAUUAGGAGGAAAACUGUAGCCCUGUCCUGAUCCCAUCAGCAAAGGCCAAGUGGGAACGCUAUACUUCCACCUUUACCCAGAUGUAAUGAGGUGCUCUCUUUCCUCCUGAGAGUGCCAAUGAAAGCUGCACUGGGAACCUAAACCUCUACCCCCAUGUGGCAGUUAUGGGGCAGCACUUUCCUUUCCAUGCUGAUGUGGUUUCAGAUGAGGCUUGCUGAAACAGAAAAUUUAAACAAGAUCCAGAGUCUUCUGACUUAAUGCCUCAAAUGUCCACAAUAUUAAAGUUUACUCAUCACACCAAAAACCAAAAAAAAACUCAAUGUGAAUGAGAAAAGACAAUAACCAGAUGCUGUCUUAGUCUAUUUUGUGCUGCUACAGCUGAUCACCGACUGGGUAAUUUAUAAUAAACAGAAAUUUAUUGGCUCAUGGUUCCAGAGGCAGGGAAAUCCAAGAUCAAGAGGCCAGCAUCUGGCGAGGGCUUUCUUGCUAUGUCAUCCCAUGGUGGAAGAGCAAAGAGAGAAUAAGAGAGGGAGAGUAAGAAAGGAGAGGGGCAGAAAGAGAGGGCUGAACUUGUUUAAUUAAAAAAACAAACCCACUCCCAUAAUAAUGAACCCAGUCCAGUGAUGACAGCAUUAAUC
rnacentral:SRP_RNA from 10 species